rnacentral:snoRNA from 1 species
AUGGAGGUAAAGAAAGUGAGGUAAAUGAAGACCAUGUUGCCUUCACUGAUACUCACCUCCUAUAUUAAGUAGCAGAGAGAACAUCUGAGGCCUACAGGGAAAAGCUUUGGAUGACUGCAUCUGCUUACAAAG